rnacentral:rRNA from 1 species
GAUGAACGCUGGCGGCGUGCCUAAUACAUGCAAGUCGAGCGAACGGACGAGAAGCUUGCUUCUCUGAUGUUAGCGGCGGACGGGUGAGUAACACGUGGAUAACCUACCUAUAAGACUGGGAUAACUUCGGGAAACCGGAGCUAAUACCGGAUAAUAUUUUGAACCGCAUGGUUCAAAAGUGAAAGACGGUCUUGCUGUCACUUAUAGAUGGAUCCGCGCUGCAUUAGCUAGUUGGUAAGGUAACGGCUUACCAAGGCAACGAUGCAUAGCCGACCUGAGAGGGUGAUCGGCCACACUGGAACUGAGACACCGUCCAGACUCCUACGGGAGGCGGCAGUAGGGAAUCUUCCGCAAUGGGCGAAAGCCUGACGGAGCAACGCCGCGUGAGUGAUGAAGGUCUUCGGAUCGUAAAACUCUGUUAUUAGGGAAGAACAUAUGUGUAAGUAACUGUGCACAUCUUGACGGUACCUAAUCAGAAAGCCACGGCUAACUACGUGCCAGCAGCCGCGGUAAUACGUAGGUGGCAAGCGUUAUCCGGAAUUAUUGGGCGUAAAGCGCGCGUAGGCGGUUUUUUAAGUCUGAUGUGAAAGCCCACGGCUCAACCGUGGAGGGUCAUUGGAAACUGGAAAACUUGAGUGCAGAAGAGGAAAGUGGAAUUCCAUGUGUAGCGGUGAAAUGCGCAGAGAUAUGGAGGAACACCAGUGGCGAAGGCGACUUUCUGGUCUGUAACUGACGCUGAUGUGCGAAAGCGUGGGGAUCAAACAGGAUUAGAUACCCUGGUAGUCCACGCCGUAAACGAUGAGUGCUAAGUGUUAGGGGGUUUCCGCCCCUUAGUGCUGCAGCUAACGCAUUAAGCACUCCGCCUGGGGAGUACGACCGCAAGGUUGAAACUCAAAGGAAUUGACGGGGACCCGCACAAGCGGUGGAGCAUGUGGUUUAAUUCGAAGCAACGCGAAGAACCUUACCAAAUCUUGACAUCCUUUGACAACUCUAGAGAUAGAGCCUUCCCCUUCGGGGGACAAAGUGACAGGUGGUGCAUGGUUGUCGUCAGCUCGUGUCGUGAGAUGUUGGGUUAAGUCCCGCAACGAGCGCAACCCUUAAGCUUAGUUGCCAUCAUUAAGUUGGGCACUCUAAGUUGACUGCCGGUGACAAACCGGAGGAAGGUGGGGAUGACGUCAAAUCAUCAUGCCCCUUACGAUUUGGGCUACACACGUGCUACAAUGGACAAUACAAAGGGCAGCGAAACCGCGAGGUCAAGCAAAUCCCAUAAAGUUGUUCUCAGUUCGGAUUGUAGUCUGCAACUCGACUACAUGAAGCUGGAAUCGCUAGUAAUCGUAGAUCAGCAUGCUACGGUGAAUACGUUCCCGGGUCU